rnacentral:rRNA from 1 species
CUAGAGAUUAGAGUUUGAUCCUGGCUCAGGAUGAACGCUGGCGGCGUGCCUAAUACAUGCAAGUCGAACGAGUUCUCGUUGAUGAUCGGUGCUUGCACCGAGAUUUAACAUGGAACGAGUGGCGGACGGGUGAGUAACACGUGGGUAACCUGCCCUUAAGUGGGGGAUAACAUUUGGAAACAGAUGCUAAUACCGCAUAGAUCCAAGAACCGCAUGGUUCUUGGCUGAAAGAUGGCGUAAGCUAUCGCUUUUGGAUGGACCCGCGGCGUAUUAGCUAGUUGGUGAGGUAAUGGCUCACCAAGGCGAUGAUACGUAGCCGAACUGAGAGGUUGAUCGGCCACAUUGGGACUGAGACACGGCCCAAACUCCUACGGGAGGCAGCAGUAGGGAAUCUUCCACAAUGGACGCAAGUCUGAUGGAGCAACGCCGCGUGAGUGAAGAAGGCUUUCGGGUCGUAAAACUCUGUUGUUGGAGAAGAAUGGUCGGCAGAGUAACUGUUGUCGGCGUGACGGUAUCCAACCAGAAAGCCACGGCUAACUACGUGCCAGCAGCCGCGGUAAUACGUAGGUGGCAAGCGUUAUCCGGAUUUAUUGGGCGUAAAGCGAGCGCAGGCGAUUUUUUAAGUCUGAUGUGAAAGCCCUCGGCUUAACCGAGGAAGCGCAUCGGAAACUGGGAAACUUGAGUGCAGAAGAGGACAGUGGAACUCCAUGUGUAGCGGUGAAAUGCGUAGAUAUAUGGAAGGACACCAGUGGCGAAGGCGGCUGUCUGGUCUGUAACUGACGCUGAGGCUCGAAAGCAAGGGUAGCGAACAGGAUUAGAUACCCUGGUAGUCCAUGCCGUAAACGAUGAAUGCUAGGUGUUGGAGGGUUUCCGCCCUUCAGUGCCGCAGCUAACGCAUUAAGCAUUCCGCCUGGGGGGUACGACCGCAAGGUUGAAACUCAAAGGAAUUGACGGGGGCCCGCACAAGCGGUGGAGCAUGUGGUUUAAUUCGAAGCAACGCGAAGAACCUUACCAGGUCUUGACAUCUUUUGAUCACCUGAGAGAUCAGGUUUCCCCUUCGGGGGCAAAAUGACAGGUGGUGCAUGGUUGUCGUCAGCUCGUGUCGUGAGAUGUUGGGUUAAGUCCCGCAACGAGCGCAACCCUUAUGACUAGUUGCCAGCAUUUAGUUGGGCACUCUAGUAAGACUGCCGGUGACAAACCGGAGGAAGGUGGGGAUGACGUCAAAUCAUCAUGCCCCUUAUGACCUGGGCUACACACGUGCUACAAUGGAUGGUACAACGAGUUGCGAGACCGCGAGGUCAAGCUAAUCUCUUAAAGCCAUUCUCAGUUCGGACUGUAGGCUGCAACUCGCCUACACGAAGUCGGAAUCGCUAGUAAUCGCGGAUCAGCACGCCGCGGUGAAUACGUUCCCGGGCCUUGUACACACCGCCCGUCACACCAUGAGAGUUUGUAACACCCGAAGCCGGUGGCGUAACCCUUUUAGGGAGCGAGCCGUCUAAGGUGGGACAAAUGAUUAGGGUGAAGUCGUAACAAGGUA